UGGCUUAGACGGUAGAGUGUCUGCUUGCAAUGCAGGAGACCUGGGUUCAAUCCCUG
rnacentral:tRNA from 1 species